GUCAGCAGCAGGAGCUCCCCGCCCCCAGCGCUGGGGGCCACCGCGCCCUUUCCUUCCGACUACUCCCAGCCCGCCCCAGCCGGGACCGCAGAGCGCGGCGGGUUCAGUGUAAUUAAUUUAGAAACCAGGGAGGAUUUUAUCACCAUCUCCGCCGCCUCCGCCGGAGCAGGUUUCGCAGCUGCCUGCGGGCUUUCCUACGACAGCUCCGGGGUAUCGGACUCCGAGGCGCGCCCUCCCCCAGUGGCCGUGCCCGGAGGGAAGGGGCUCCUGGGCUACCCAGGUCCGCUGCAGCGCGGCCAAGCCCCCAGGGACCCCUUCCCUCUCGCCCGCGCGGUCCGUCCUUGGCACUUCUCCGGGGACAGGGGUUGAGGCCCGGGGGCAGCCGGAGGCCUUGGCACGGCCGCAGGAUACUACAGCGCCUUUGCAGAGUCCUUCCCGCCAGAGUCUGAUUCCAUGCGAGAGAAUGGUGCCUCCCGACCAGCCAGGAGGAUUUCCAGGAGAUUCACUUCUUCAGUUUGUAUCCUGAAAACCAGAGGAACAUAUUUUUUUAUUAGCUGAAUCUAGGAUUUUUAUGCUGAAUAUAAGUUUUGAAUUUCCAGA